CAUGCUGCUCUCUACCAUGACUCUGUACCUGCCUGCCACCUGGAACAGAAGAAAGACAGUUACAACAUCUUACCAGUGGGGCAGGCUGAUCCUCCUCCUCUGAGUCUGAUAGGUUGGAGAGGUCUGUAGCACCCCAGUCUUCCAGGCCUUCGCAAAUCACCACUGAGUGAGCAGGUACAGGCCAACCUGCAGAUGCAAGGCAAAUUCCAGUCAAAGACAAUCUAAGGUUGAAAGUAAAGUUGAAGACCAACUGGAGACCAAGUGUUUAGAAAAGCAAAUGAGAAGCUUCUCACGCCUCUCCUACAAAGGAGUAGUCUGGAUACAUCUGUGAUUACCCACUACAGACCAAUAUAAAAUCUUCCACUUCGACUCACUGCGUCGGGGUGAGUGAACCACGGGGUCAGAGUGGGCGGGACCAGUGUGCAUUGACUCCUCCCCUCGGAGCAUGUGGGAGUGGCUUGUUGCCAAGGAGCUGUGAGGAACAGGGAGACACGCUGAGCAGCCUCCCACCGACGCUCCACCCCACGACACACACAUCUCUGAUGCACUAAACAGUAUCACCAUGGGAACAAGACACGACCACAACAAACAAAACGAACAACAACAACAACAACAUCCACUGUGUCACAAAACAAGCUCAUCCACAUUCUGCAGAUUAACACAGCAUUCCGUUAAGUUCACAAUCACAUAUAUUUCAGUGUCUGAUUUCAAAGGAUAUUUGAGUUUAUGACACAAAUAUAAAUUUUAUCAGAGAUCACUGCAAUAUAUGGAAAUAUUAUUUUGAGUUUUCAGUGUUUUACACACAUACCAGGCCUUGAUUAAACAGCAUUUGCAAAUAAUUCAAUGUGGUUUAACCUGCUUUAAGUAGUAGAUGGGUGAAGGUUGUCCGAUAUAGCCCAGGAUAUAGAAAGAAAAUGAAUAUAAUCACAGGAAAAUAUCUGAAAGUCACUUAUCUGAAUAGAUUAAAACCUACCCAUCUGAAAAAUACGUUUUUAAUUACUCACAAAUGCUAUGUUACCUAGGACUAUAUUGUGUACACAAAUAAUUGAAAAGUGACAGACAAUCACAGUAUUGCAUCCUCCAUCUGUUAGUAAGAAUCAAAAAGUCCCACAAGACAAUCUCUGAUAAUUAUCAUCCCAUGCUCAGAUACUUUGACAACUGAACUGAGAGUCUUUGUGAAUGUAUGUACUUAAAGGAUAAGGCUGGCAUUAUUUUAUAUUGUCAACAAAUCCCAUGAAAAGGCCAAAACCAACCCUGUGCUCAUCUUCUUUUCAGUAUUUUCUGGCUUCCCUAACCUCAAGCCCAUUGGUUCCUCCUGAAGAUGUAAAAUAUAUAGUUUAAUCUUUCAAAAAGGUUCAAUAAUUUCCCGAAACAGCUGGGCACUGCAGUUUUUGGCAAAUGUUUCUCAGACAGGAGGAAACAGGGUAUUUGUGUGGGACUAUUUUCAGCCACAGACUAGUACAAAUUUGUUGUGCUAGUUGUAGCAGCAGCGGGACAGUGUACGUGAGAAUGUCUCAAGAUAAGCUAAAGUGCCCAUGUUCUCUGUUAAUAAAGAAACAUCCCACCCAGUGCAAAAGUGAGGAUCAUUGAUGUGUUUUAAUUGUUUUUGGACAAUGGAGGUCUAUGACAGAGAGGAAUAAGCUAAAUCCGGCUUUGGCUACACAGGCUAUCCUUCUAAGUAGGAUCAGUUCAUUGGUUGGUUUUGGUCUUUUCGUGAAAUUUGUUGACAAUAAGAAACAUACAGAAUAUCAACAGACAUUCCUUUAGGUUUUUGAGGAAAUAA